rnacentral:rRNA from 1 species
ACGGGGGGAGCAAACGUUGUUCGGAAUCACUGGGCGUAAAGGGCGUGUAGGCGGCUGAAUAAGUGGGAUGUUAAAUCCCCAGGCUCAACCUGGGAACUGCAUCUCAUACUGUUCAGCUCGAGCACAUCAGAGGAGACUGGAAUUCCCGGUGUAGCGGUGAAAUGCGUAGAGAUCGGGAGGAACACCAGAGGCGAAAGCGGCGACCUGGACAGGUACUGACACUCAACUACGAAAGCGUGGGGAGCAAACAGGA